AUUGAACGCUGGCGGCAGUCCUAACACAUGCAAGUCGAGCGAGCGGCGGACGGGUGAGUAAUGCCUGGGAAUUGCCCAGUCGAGGGGGAUAACAGUUGGGAACGACUGCUAAUACCGAAUACGAUUGGAUUGACCCGGUGGGAUUGGCUAGUUGAUGAGGUAAUGGCUCACCAAGGCGACGAUCCCUAGCUGUUCUGAGAGGAUGGGCAGCAAAACUGGAACGGAGACACGGUCCAGACUCCUACGGGAGGUAGCAGUGGGGAAUAUUGCAAAAUGGGGGAAACCCUGAUGCAGCCAUGCCGCGUGUGUGAAGAAGGCCUUCGGGUUGUAAAGCACUUUCAGCGAGGAGGCGUUACUCGCAGAAGAAGCACCGGCUAACUCCGUGCCAGCAGCCGCGGUAAUAC
rnacentral:rRNA from 1 species